CUCGCUCGCCUUUGAUAACACUGAGAAGUUGACAAAAAAAUGGAGUUGUGAAGAAUGACUCUUGAGAGUAAGUGUUUUAGGCUAAGUAGAAGUAAAAUAAAAUGUAUGCAUUAUUAGUUUAGCUUUCCUAAAAGAAAUGGAAGCUAAAUUUGAUUGGAUGGACUUUUGGCGCUAAAAUACAACAAAUUCAAUAUUUGGUUUUUAUUAUCCGGAAGAAUGGAGUAAUAGACGGAUCAAAACAAAAUAGAUGAAAUAGAAGAGUGUGACGGGUGUCCAAUGUAACCAUAGUAUUCCUAACAAAGUGAAAAGUAAAUUCUAGAAAUGAUGGUUUAGCCUGUUGUGUUGUAUGAGAGUGAAUGUUGGGUAUCUGAGCUACAACAUAAACUUAAGAUAAAUAACAAAAAUAUAGAUGCUAAUAUGGAUGUAUGGUAAUAUGAUAAUUGAUAAUAUUGGAAAUGAAUAUAUUUGCUAGAAAGUGUAUAUAGCACAUAUUCGGUAUAAAAUGAGAUGGCCAAUUAUGAUGUUUGGUAAUGUCCAACCUAAAGAAUCCAAUGUCCCAGUACGGAAGUGUGAUAAAUUAGUGGUGGAAGUAGUGAUAAGGAAAAUGUGAGAUCUAACAUUACGUAGAAGGAAGUAAUAUUAAAAGAUUUAUAAUUUUUUUUGAUAUUGAUGCGGAAUUGGUUUCAAACAGAGUUGAAUGGUGAAAAAGGAUCCAUUUAGUUGACCUAAUUAGCUUAGGAUUAAGGCUUAGUUUUUGAUUUUGUUGUUGGAAAACCUCGUGAUUGUAUUUGAAUGGCCUAUUUUUUACUGAAUAUAGAAUAUUGCUAAAUUUGCAAAAAACUUUUGCGAGUACAAAUUUCUUCCUUUCCCUUUGGUAGAGAAAUUAUAAAUACAUUAUAAUGGUUCUUAUAUCAUACUAGUGGUAUUGUUUUCCGGUUAAGGAUGGUGAUUAAUAUGCAUGUAGUUGGAUACUAUUAAGAAUUACAAAGUUAUAGCUGGUGUGGCUCUAUCUACUGAGCAUACUAGUUGUUUAAAAUGUGAAGUUAAGAGUAGAAUGAGUGAGGAAAAGUGAUUUAUACAACCUAGAGCUAGAUGGUGGUACCUAAAAGGCAUGAACCAAAUAGCUUCUAGGGAAAUACUAUUAAUAAAAAGAUGCGAAAUUUAGACAAUAAUGUUAAUAACGCAUGGAGAUCGAUGGUGAGCUACAUUAAGAAGUUAGCAGUGGAUAUAUUAGAUGUAUCCUAGGGUAGUGGACCAUGUGCAUGACAAUCUUGGUGGUAGAGCGAGGAGUUUCAAAAAGCUAUUAAGAUUGAAAGAGAAUGGUAUAAAAAGUUACCAACGACAAAAAAAUUGGGGAGACAUUUGAGAAAUAUAAUUUGGCAAUAAGAGAAGUUAAGAAAAGAAUUAGCGAGGCUCAUGAUAAAUCUCUAGCUAAUUUGUACAAAAAGUUGGGAACACGAUAAUGGGAGAAGAAGAUGUACGAGGUAGCAUGGUUGAAGGAAAAGAGGGGUAGAGAUCUAAAUCAAGUCAAGUGCAUUAAAUAUGAUAAUGAACAAGUUCUUUCAGGAUGUAGUGAGAUGAUAGAGAGAUGGAGAUGCUACUUUGAUCAACCAUUCAAUGUGAUUCAUGAGGAUGAUUUUAUAGACCUUAAUGUGCCUUUGACAGAGAAGAAGACACUCGUAGAAUCAGGUUUAUUGACAUUAAAAAGGCCAUGAGAAUAUGAAAAAAGACAGAUCUUGCAGCUCAAAAGGUAUCCCUGUAUAAGUAUAGAAGUGCCUUAAUAAGGGUGGAUAGCUUGGCUAAUCAAGCUAUUUAAUGGCAUACUAAAAUCUUUUAAAAUGCUAAAUGAGUGAAGAAAUUUGGUUCCAAUCUUUGAGAACAAAGGAGACAUCCAAAGUUGUACAUGACAUUGUGACAUUAAAUUGAUGAGUCACAUGAUAAAGCAAUAAGAAAAAGUGAUUGAACACAGAGUUAGGGCUAUUACUAAGGUAUUAAAGAACCAAUUUGGCUUAUUACCUGGUAGAUGUAUAAUAGAGCCUAGCUUUCUAUUUGGAAUAUUAAUGAAAAUUUAUUGGGAGAGAAAAAAGGAUCUCUACAUGGUAUUCAUUGACUUAGAAAGACGUGAUAAAGCACCGAGUAAAGUUCUUUGGUGGGUGCUGGAGAAGAAAGGAGUUCAUUUCAAAUAUAUAAAUGUAAUUAUGGAAAAGUACGAGGGGAUGAUUACAAAUGUAAGAGCAGUAGGAGGGGAUGCGGACAACUUCCGCAUAACAGUGGAUUUACUUCAAUGAUCGACAUUGAAUCCGUAAAUGUUUGCCUUAGUUAUAGAUGAGCAAACCAUUCAAAUUUAAGAUGAUGUCCUAUGGUAUAUGUUAUUUUUAGAUGAUAUUGUGUUAGUGGAUGAAACUAGCGACUAAGUUAACAAAAAAUUGGAGCUGUGGAGGAGUCUUGAAAGUAAGGGCUUUAGGUUAUGUAGAAGUAAGACGUGACAUAUGUAUUGCGAGUUUAGCUAUCGUAGAAGGAGUGAAGAUAAGGUUAGAUUGGACAAAUUUUUGGUGCCAAAAUAAAAUUAAUUUAAGUAUUUAGGUUUUAUCAUCAAGAAUAACAAAGUAAUAGAUGAGCAUAUAACUCACAGGUCAAACCGAGAUAGAUGAAAUGGAAGAGCGGAUGGAUGUGUUAUGCGACCGUAGAUCCAUGAGAAAAUGAAGGUGAGUUCUAUAGAACUAUAGUUGGGCCAACUAUUAUGUAUGAGAUUGGAUAUUGGGCAUCUAAGGUAUAAUAUACCUACAAGAUGAAUGUGAUGAAAAUGCAGAAAUGAAGAUGGAUGUUGGUAACAUACUAACAUGAUAAUGAAUAAGGUUAAAAAUGAUCACAGUUUCUAAAUAAUAUAUAUAGCACAUAUUGGAGAUAAAA
rnacentral:misc_RNA from 1 species